rnacentral:rRNA from 1 species
UAAUACGGAGGGUGCAAGCGUUGUUCGGAAUUACUGGGCGUAAAGGGAGCGUAGGCGGUUUAUCAAGUCUGGUGUGAAAUCCCGGGGCUCAACCCCGGACGUGCACUGGGAACUGGUGAACUUGAGUACUGGAGAGGGUGGUGGAAUUCCCGGUGUAGAGGUGAAAUUCGUAGAUAUCGGGAGGAACAUCAGUGGCGAAGGCGGCCACCUGGACAGAUACUGACGCUGAGGUUCGAAAGCGUGGGGAGCAAACAGGAUUAGAUACCCUGGUAGUCCACGCCGUAAACGUUGGGUGCUAGGUGUCGGGACAUUUCGCGUCCCGGUGCCGGAGCUAACGCAUUAAGCACCCCGCCUGGGGAGUACGGUCGCAAGAUUA